AUUGAACGCUGGCGGCAUGCCUUACACAUGCAAGUCGAACGGCAGCACGGGUGCUUGCACCUGGUGGCGAGUGGCGAACGGGUGAGUAAUACAUCGGAACAUGUCCUGUAGUGGGGGAUAGCCCGGCGAAAGCCGGAUUAAUACCGCAUUCGAUCCACGGAUGAAAGCGGGGGACCUUCGGGCCUCGCGCUAUCGGGUUGGCCGAUGGCUGAUUAGCUAGUUGGUGGGGUAAAGGCCUACCAAGGCGACGAUCAGUAGCUGGUCUGAGAGGACGACCAGCCACACUGGGACUGAGACACGGCCCAGACUCCUACGGGAGGCAGCAGUGGGGAAUUUUGGACAAUGGGCGAAAGCCUGAUCCAGCAAUGCCGCGUGUGUGAAGAAGGCCUUCGGGUUGUAAAGCACUUUUGUCCGGAAAGAAAUCCUUGACUCUAAUACAGUCGGGGGAUGACGGUACCGGAAGAAUAAGCACCGGCUAACUACGUG
rnacentral:rRNA from 1 species